rnacentral:misc_RNA from 1 species
UCAAACUUGGUCAUUUAGAGGAAGUAAAAGUCGUAACAAGGUUUCCGUAGGUGAACCUGCGGAAGGAUCAUUAACAAUUUAUCCUCUUUAUGGAUAAAUUUUAUCCAUAUCCACCUUGUGUGCAUCAUUGAAGUGUUAGUUGGCAGGUGAAAUCCCUUUCGGGGAUUUGAAGUGCAGUGAGUACAUUUACUCUUUUGCAGCCUGCCAAUAUUAUAUGUCUCAACAUGUCUACUUGAAGUUAGGCUGAAAUGUAUUAAUUUAAUAAAUACAACUUUCAACAACGGAUCUCUUGGCUCUCGCAUCGAUGAAGAACGCAGC